rnacentral:lncRNA from 1 species
GUGCUUCCCAUCAUCUUCGUUGCCAUCAGUCAAUUAAAUGGUUGGUAUAAUAUAUCCUAGUAAAUUCCGGAUGAAGCUAAUGGACCAGCAGAAAAAAGAUGGAGUUUCAUAAAGUAAUUCUACAAGAAUUUUCUACUAAACUUGAAGAUGCAGAGUCAUGAACAACAUUUUGUUAGCUUUAAAUUCUGAUGAGGAAGGUAUGCCUU